CGAGGCUGAGGGGGACCGACUGUCGCCACACACGGCGACCCCGCGGCUGCCGCCAUCUUAGGCUCACAACGAGGCUGAGGGGGCCCAGGUGCUGCCCUGUGCGGGAGCAGGUGGUUCCCCUCCGUGCAAAGGGAGGGCUGGCCCUGGCUGGAGUCAGGUUCAGCUCAGUUGAUUGAGGCCUCCGCUCCUGCUGGCUGCUGUCUUCCUAAUCGGUUUUGAAUCAGAAAAAUUCAUCUCAGGGCUGACAGCAAGAUGGCAAGUUUCAAUGCCAAGAAAGAAUAUCCCAUAAAGUUACAAGCAAAUGAAAACAGGAGACUAUAAUGGAAAACUGUAGGUACCCUGAGCUAUAGCGUUUGUUACCGCAAAAGCUGUAAUUACAUGUCUAAUGUAGUGCAAAAGUUAAUCUUCAGUAUCUUUUCCAUUUGCUGCUGAGACAAGCAGACAGGCAGAUAGAGAAGUGUAAUGGAUUCUGAUGGAUAAGGAACAUAUUCAGUUCACCCAGCCCUGAUCCUCAUCUUCAGCUGAGGAAUGCUCAGCCAAACACAGGGUGGAGGUACAAAGGUGGCUUUAAAACACAUCUUGCCCCUGUCAUGGAACACUGUGUGUUAGACCAGUCCUCAGUGCAAGAUAAAGCAGACAUAAGGUCCCCUAACAGGCCAUUACCACAGCAUAACUUGCCAGGGAAAAUGGAAGACCUGGCUAUGCCACUCAUAGGUUGGAACUGGAAUAGUAACCAUUACAGUAGCUGUACACCACCAGAAGAUUCCCCUAUAUCUGACCACAAAGCCAGCUUUUCGACAGCUUCGCAGCAUUGGAGCCCUGUAAAGCUACCUUAGCAGAGGAGAGAGACUGGC